AAGAUACUGAUGGUUGUCAAGCAAUCACAAGAUCAACUUCAAAAGCCCAACAUGACAAACUUUUUUGAGGCUGCAAAAAGAAUGAUAAUUGGCUUUCCUCCUAAACACAAACAAAUUUUACAAACUUUGCAUGAGCAUAACAAAACUCUUCAGUCAGCCAAUUCAAAAGCACUGUUAAUUAGCAUCCCACAUGAAGCCAAUCCUACUAAUUGCAUGUUAUUAUAAGAAAGCCUAUUCGACCAAUUACAACAAAUUACAUUCUGCAAUUGCAAAUGCCCAUAUUCUAGCUGAGUAUGGUUCCCUUCCAGAAGAGUAUAAGAACACUAAAACCAUUUUUGACCAAUCACAACAAUUACAUUCUUCAAUUGCAAAAGCUAAGAGUAUGGUUCCCUUGGAGAAGAGUAUCAGUACAUUAAAAACCUAAUCAAUUAGAAUACCAGAGCUUGCUCAUGACACUGCCAAAAUGCGGAUCCAAAAUCCAGAACCAUUUCAUGUAUGAAAUUGAUGAACCAACAAGCUGAACUCAUUGAAACUGACUAUCAAGUCAGGACCCCCAAUAAUCUGACAUACCAUACAUCAUAUACUACUCUUGUGCAGAAUAAGAACCGAUAGAAGAAACUAGAACUCAUCCUGAGCAGACCAAGAAUCAACUAAAGAAACUAAGAAACCCAAAUUCUGCUUUCCUUUUAUAAUUAAUGUUUCAAACACAAUGAUAACUAACAGCCCAGAUCUUACCUUUACUGAUUAGCUUUGCUUUCACAACAAAUGUUUCAAAUAUUAGCAAACACUAAACCCUUUCUUGCAGCUAUUAUUAUUGACAUAGUUCUCUGCGCGACCUUCUAGGUUCAUAAAAAAAUAGAAUUUUAUAACAAUAAUAAAACUACUAAAGGAUGCUUAAGUUCAUGACAGACCACAUCUCAGUCGAUGAUACCAAAGAACCCUAACAACACGAAAGAAGAAAAAUCAACUAAGUAGUUUAGUAAUAUCAGGAAACACAAAACAGCUGAAACAACAAGGUGGUGCUUUUAUCCCAUGGUUCUUGCAUAAGAGCUCAUAAACAUGGGCUCACAACGAUAUUCCUUAUACACAUGACAGGUCCUUCUUAUCAAAUUACCUACAAUAUAUAAUAUAAAGAGAAGUGUUUAUAUUGUUAACAGAUGCUCCCUUUGUAUACAACAAGAAGAAAAUAUCCUAUAGUUAUCUGCUAUCAGUUAAUGAUCUCAGGAAUACUGUAUGUAUCCCGUAGUUAUCUACUUUCAUAAUACGAUGUACUCACAGCUAGUCUAGGCAUGUCUAGAUAUUAUUUUUCAUUUAUUGAGUAUAGUAAGGAGUCAUAGUCUACGACAUGUAUAGUCAUGACUACCUUUUUGUUUGACUACUCUUAGAGAUGAGUUUGCUGGAAUGAGACAAUUCCGCCUUUUUGAGGUGGGGUGCACUCUCUUAGACUGUUUUAAAGAGAUAUCAGGCUUUUGUCUAUGACU
rnacentral:lncRNA from 1 species